rnacentral:tRNA from 1 species
GGCACGAUGGCCGAGUGGUUAAGGCGGUAGACUUGAAUGCCGAUUCUCGACGAUGAUUCGUCAGUUUCAUAUUCUUGCCAUCUACUAUCUUCGGAUGCGUAGGUUCAAAUCCUGCUCGUGUCG